rnacentral:rRNA from 1 species
GGGGGGGCAAGCGUUGUUCGGAAUUACUGGGCGUAAAGGGUUCGUAGGUGGCCUGCUAAGUCAGACGUGAAAUCCCUCAGCUUAACUGGGGAACUGCGUCUGAUACUGGUGGGCUUGAGUGCAGGAGAGGAACGCGGAAUUCCAGGUGUAGCGGUGAAAUGCGUAGAUAUCUGGAGGAACACCGGUGGCGAAGGCGGCGUUCUGGACUGCUACUGACACUGAUGAACGAAAGCCAGGGGAGCAAACGGGAUUAGAUACCCCGGUAGUCCUGGCCCUAAACGAUGAAUGCUUGGUGUGGCGGGUAUCGAUCCCUGCCGUGCCGAAGUUAACGCGUUAAGCAUUCCGCCUGGGGAGUACGGUCGCAAGGCUG